rnacentral:rRNA from 1 species
AGAGUUUGAUCCUGGCUCAGGAUGAACGCUGGCGGCGUGCCUAACACAUGCAAGUCGAACGAGCAAAUACAUUUGAUUUCUUCGGAAAGAAGAUGUAGGCGCGAGUGGCGGACGGGUGAGUAACGCGUGAGUAAUCUGCCUCAUACAGGAGAAUAACACUAAGAAAUUGGUGCUAAUACUCCAUAAGCUCACAUUAUGACAUCAUAGAGUGAGAAAAGAUUUAUCGGUAUGAGAGGAGCUCGCGUCUGAUUAGCUAGUUGGUGGGGUAACGGCCUACCAAGGCAACGAUCAGUAGCCGACCUGAGAGGGUGAUCGGCCACAUUGGAACUGAGACACGGUCCAAACUCCUACGGGAGGCAGCAGUGGGGAAUAUUGCACAAUGGGGGAAACCCUGAUGCAGCAACGCCGCGUGAAGGAAGAAGUAUUUCGGUAUGUAAACUUCUAUCGACAGGGAAGAAACAAAUGACGGUACCUGAAUAAGAAGCACCGGCUAAAUACGUGCCAGCAGCCGCGGUAAUACGUAUGGUGCAAGCGUUAUCCGGAUUUACUGGGUGUAAAGGGUGAGUAGGCGGUCAUGCAAGUCAUAUGUGAAAUGUCAGGGCUUAACCUUGGCGCUGCAUAAGAAACUGUAUGACUAGAGUGCAGGAGAGGUAAGCGGAAUUCCUAGUGUAGCGGUGAAAUGCGUAGAUAUUAGGAAGAACACCGGUGGCGAAGGCGGCUUACUGGACUGUUACUGACGCUGAGUCACGAAAGCGUGGGGAGCAAACAGGAUUAGAUACCCUGGUAGUCCACGCCGUAAACGAUGAGUGCUAGGUGU